rnacentral:rRNA from 1 species
GGGAUUAGAUACCCCACUAUGCUUAGCCUUAAACCUAGAUGCUGCGUUUACAAGUAGCGUCCGCCAGGGUACUACAAGCGCUAGCUUAAAACCCAAAGGACUUGACGGUGUCUCAGACCCACCUAGAGGAGCCUGUUCUAGAACCGAUAAUCCCCGUUAAACCUCACCACCCCUUGUCUUCUCCGCCUAUAUACCGCCGUCGCAAGCUUACCCUGUGAAGGUCCUAUAGUAAGCAAAAUGGAUAAACCCCAAAACGUCAGGUCGAGGUGUAGCUUACGAGGUGGGAAGAAAUGGGCUACAUUUUCUAUAUUAGAAUAUUACGAACGGCACUAUGAAACUAGUGCUUGAAGGUGGAUUUAGUAGUAAAAAGAAAAUAGAGAGUCCUUUUGAACCAGGCUCUGAGACGCGCACACACCGCCCC